GGGCCGUAAGCGUACGCAGGCGGUUUGUUAAGCGAGAUGUGAAAGCCCCGGGCUCAACCUGGGAACUGCAUUUCGAACUGGCAAACUAGAGUGUGAUAGAGGGUGGUAGAAUUUCAGGUGUAGCGGUGAAAUGCGUAGAGAUCUGAAGGAAUACCGAUGGCGAAGGCAGCCACCUGGGUCAACACUGACGCUCAUGUACGAAAGCGUGGGGAGCAAACAGGAUUAGAUACCCUGGUAGUCCACGCCGUAAACGAUGUCUACUAGAAGCUCGGAUCUUCGGACUUGUUUUUCAAAGCUAACGCAUUAAGUAGACCGCCUGGGGAGUACGGCCGCAAGGUUAAAACUCAA
rnacentral:rRNA from 1 species